UUGGAUGUAAUCCAGUGGUGGCCAAACUCGGCCCUCCAGCUGUUUUGGGACUACAAGUCCCAUCACAUAACAGGACCAGUGGUUAGGGAUGAUGGGAAUUGUAGUCCCAAAACAGCUGGAGGGCCAAGUUUGGCCACCACUGAUAGAAUCUCAC